AGACGGGGGGGGCGAGCGUUGUUCGGAAUUACUGGGCGUAAAGGGCGCGCAGGCGGCUUGGGAAGUCUUGGGUGAAAGCCCCCAGCUCAACUGGGGAACGGCCUGAGAAACCACUAGGCUGGAGUGCUGGAGAGGGAAGCGGAAUUCCCGGUGGAGCGGUGAAAUGCGUAGAUAUCGGGAGGAACACCAGAGGCGAAGGCGGCUUCCUGGACAGACACUGACGCUGAGGCGCGAAAGCUAGGGGAGCAAACGGGAUUAGAAACCCCGGUAGUCC
rnacentral:rRNA from 1 species